CAGCCUGCCCAGUGACAAAAUUCAACGGCCGCGUACCCUAACCGUGCGAAGGUAGCAUAAUCACUUGUUCUUUAAAUGAGGACUAGUAUCAAUGGCAUCACGAGGAUCUUACUGUCUCCCCCCCCUAAUCAGUGAAACUGAUCUCCCCGUGAAGAAGCGGGGAUAUUUUUAUAAGACGAGAAGACCCCAUGGAGCUUUAAACCCGAUAGCACCCACUCACUUUACACCCCUACACAUUUUCUGGUUCUUGCCCACUCGGUUUUAGGUUGGGGUGACCACGGAGUACAAGACAACCUCCAUGAAAAAAGGAUAAAUAAUCCUCAUCAGAGAACUACAGUUCCAAGAAAUAAUAAAUUAAUUUUUAAUGACCCGAUAUUCGAUCAACGAACCAAGUUACCCUGGGGAUAACAGCGCAAUCCACCUUAAGAGCCCCUAUCGACAGGCGGGGUUACGACCUCGAUGUUGGAUCAGGGUAUCCCAGUGGUGCAGCAGCUACUAAAGGUUCGUUUGUUCAACGAUUAAAACCCU
rnacentral:rRNA from 1 species